CCAUAGGUCCCUGGUAGCUAGCCGACGGCCACAUACGCCCCUGCCAUGGCAGCGCCGCCCCGCCUCUUCCCCUCGCUAGCUAGCCCUAGGAGCAGUGCACGACCCGUCCGCUUGCUCCUAGCCUCGCUAGCCCUUCCAUGUUGCCCCUGUAGGGACAGUGGUGGCGAACCGGCUUAGCCGACGAUGGUAAGCUCGGGAACCGACUUCCCCGAGUAUAGAAAGAGACCUCGAGCUCGUGCGGCAGAUCAGGACUCCCCCACCCUCUCAAGCCCCCUAGACAAACCAGAGCAACCCGAGUGGUCAUCCUUUCCAUCUCCGGCCGAGACCACCGCCACCACCCCUCAGAAAAAUCCGAAGUCUUCAAGCUGCCCCGGUGCCAUUUUCUUCUCUAGCUGCCUACCUGAGCCACUCCCAACCCAUUCCAUGGAUUAAUUCUUCUCAAACCCGAUGGUGUGCAAAACCCCUCUUCAUCGGAACUCCCCUCUGCCAUGGAUAAAAUCCUGCUCACCCUCGAGCUCCCUCGCGACCCUAACCUCCACCAGCAGCUGUGCCAUCUCCUCUAGAGCACCUGCGUGGCCGGAGCACCUCGAGUGGUGCCCUCUGUCACCAAUAAUCGUCUCAGGAGUCCGACCCUGUCCCUGCCCAGGCGUGCGAGAGGUUGAGGGCAAACCCGAUAGGUAGGCCCCACCUGUCGGUGAGCCAGUCUCCCCCUCUCUUGCGCAGCCGCUUCUGUGCGUGUUCCCUGCGAGGAGGCAUACCACCUGAAUUGGAGGGAAAAUUAAACUUUCGUAAGUCUUGGAGUGCACCCUACCCUUCUGCAUACUCAAGGCAAGCAUCUUGAACACUGAUAUGAUUUGGUUGAGUGAUUGUUUGUGGUGAUGUAUCAUUUACAUGGCUAUGGUGAUGAAGUGAGCAUAACUAUAUGAUGAUAUUUCAUGCAUAUUAUUCGUGGUGAAAAAUUCAUUUCUCUUAAAUAUAAAGUGCAUGUGAUAGUAGUCAUCUCUUCAUGCCACACAUGCUGAGGCUAAUCAGAUGAAAUCUGGAGGGAGGUUAUGUCUUGGGUAGACACGACCAUGGGACGGGUAUCCCGUAGUGACGGGAGUGAUCUGUGGAGGCAUGGUGGGGUAUGAUAGAAGUGAAUCUAUCAGAUAUUGUGAAGAAAAUAUGUUGUGCUAACCGUGCAGGGAAUACAUAAGCCUCCUGAGUCGACCAUACAUCGAGUCUUGUUCCAAUAACCUCACAUACUUGUUUUGUACUACCACUUGUCCCUGUCGCAGGCAAGGUACGGUCUAGUAAGUCGUCAACCCUUUCUUAGCACACGCCGUACAGAGAGGCCAUAGUGAAAGAUACCAGUGGCCACUGGUAGGCUUGUCACUUGGUUCGAAGGCAUGGGUGGUUCCGGUCGGGACCGAAAGGGGGGAAAUCCAUAGUAGUGUGCGGUAUAAAUUUGAUCCCGUGCUAAUCGAGAUUGGAGUUUCCCCACUUAGAAUUUCACUUAACGAGUGUCCUGGGUGAUCUCGGGCAUCAGGAACUUAAGAUGGUGUGUGCGGGCCAGGUGUGUUUUCAACUGAAAGGUCGGAAUCGGAAUUGGUUGACAUCCCUCGUUGACUAAAGAAAUCCGUUACUCAGGGGUAAAGAGUACACCCUCCGGAGAGUUAUAAUAUCUAUCUAGAUAGCUGUGUCCAUGGUUAAGGACUACUAUCUGGGAUAGGUCAAGUGUCGGUGUGAGUGCCGCUCUUUGGAGGAAAUUAAUUUAACCAUGAUAAUAACUGCGAAAGGUGGUGGAUUAUCAUAUCUAUUACCAUGGACUGACCCCUUCUGUGUAUAAAUAUUGAAUGUCCUUGGGACGGUUCUACCUCCUGGAUAUUCAUUGUUAUGAUUAUCUUAUAAGCCCAUUAUGUGGCGUCGCUCAGACGCCCGACUGUGGCAUGCAUGUUAUUAUUUACUCAUUGAUAUUAUAAUCCCUUCACGUGAUGUCGCGCUCAGACGCUCGGCUAUGGCAUGCAUCUUAUUAUUUUCAUAUAAGCCCUUUAUGUGGUGUCGCUCAGAUGCCCGACUACGGCACGCAUUUUAUUAUUUCUUAGAAGCCCUUUCCGUGGUGUCGCUCAGACGCCCGAUUGUGGCAUGUUUUAUAGUUUUUAUCCUUUUGAGGCGUCGCUUCACACACCUGAUCGGACUAUUUUAUGUUCUUGGAACUUUCGGGAGUGUUACCACCCGAUGUUCCAUUUUAGCUUCAUUUAUUGAUUGUUUACUUAAUUUGUAGUAUGGAUCAAUUACAUGCUUGCUUGCAAUUAUAAAUUUAUCUUAUGACUGAUUGAAUAAUAUUGAAUAUUUUGUAGUGCAUAUUAAUCACGUGUUAUAUUAUGUCUGUCUUCAUAAUAUUUGCGAGUACAUUCAAAGUACACACUGGCUUGUCCCUCGCUAUUGUCUUAGCGAGAUUGCAUAUUUGGAGAGGAGCAUCCUGACGACAGCCCGGAACCUAGGCACCGAAAAUAGCAGCGGUGCGAGAUAGGAGUAACCAGGUCAGAUGUUCCUAUGGAAAAUGGAGUCCCAUAGACGCUGCAGGUCCGCGAACAACAGCUUCCGCCAUCAACCACUAGAUACCUUUGUUGUACUCCAUAGACCAUCAUGGUCUUGUACACCAAAAUUAUGUAUUUUCUUGGAUAUUUGUAUCAAGGAAGUGUGCACCAGCUAACAAUAUUCCUGGGGCUGGUAUGCACAAGGGUCAUUUAAUGGGAAAUUAAUAUCCAGGAAAAAUCAGCCCUGACACUAGGCAGUUACCCAAACUCUAUGGCACAAAUUUGCAAAACUCGGAGAUUUCGAUUUUAGCAGAUGGUUAACCAGAGAGUUGGUCAUUGUUUUUU